rnacentral:rRNA from 1 species
UGUGUAGGCGGCCUGUUAAGUUCCGUGUGAAAUCUCCCGGCUCAACUGGGAGGGUGCGCGGAAAACUGGCGGGCUAGAGUGCGGGAUGGGAGAGUAGAAUUCCUGGUGUAGCGGUGAAAUGCGUAGAUAUCAGGAGGAAUACCGGUGGUGUAGACGGCUCUCUGGACCGUAACUGACGCUGAGACACGAAGGCGUGGGUAGCAAACAGGAUUAGAUACCCUGGUAGUCCACGCCCUAAACGAUGCAUAUUUGGUGUAGGUCAUUCAGUUGAUCUGUGCCGGAGCUAACGCGUUAAAUAUGCCGCCUGGGGAGUACAGUCGCAAGGCUGAA